UGUAAUGAAAUCGAAUAACCCCUGUAUAGAGCAGCUUUCUGCACGAAAGCAUUUAGCUUCUUUACAAGCGUAGCGCCACCUCUCUGUGAAAGAGAAAUGCAAUUCAGAAGCUUUUUGGCUGCGGCGUGAGUACCGUUGCGAUCUCACAACGUUGCAACAAACCAUCCAAAAUUUUUAGAAAAGAUAGGCUGGAACUCAAAAACAAACCAGUGGAAAACGGACUAAAAAAAAUGUAUAAGUCCAUCAUGCAUAUGAAACCGAAUGAGACAGCCUCAAUUUAGGUAGAAUUUUUAUGAAAAGACGGGAAUUUCAAUAGCGUCCAGUGUUCAAGGUCACUGUUUGAAGGCAGAAUUUUGUUGGCAUGGGGUUUUUGAAUUUAAUCGAGUGGAGAACGUGAACAAGUGCACAUCAGUUAGAAGAAAAUUAGUCUCGAAAGUUAAAAUCAAAACCAAGUGUAGUAUCUGAACAAGGUAGCAAGUAGUAUUAGUUAAACAGUUUUUGAGUAUUAAUUAUUAAAUCAAUCUAGGUACGGCAGAAUCAAGUGGUUGGCAGAUUUUUUAAAUAGUAUUGCUAGUAGAAUAACACGUGCUAAAAAAACAACUCACCGGUAAGAAUAAGUUUGGUGUCUUGAUUUCAAAAGUGGUGAUCAGUUUGAAUUUCAAAUCAAUGUAGGCCCAAAAGAUCUCUAUCGGGAUUUAGCUGUUCUGGAAAGACAGGACGAGCUGGCUAAAACCGUAUUCGCUGGUAUAAUCCCCACUGCUCAACGUGGGUGCCAGUCUGGGACCAGAAAGUUGUUCGGAUACCCGUUAAACAUCCGAUAAGCAAUCCAGAAGGACCACCCUAAUCGCUUUCCCUCCUGACAAGCCACCCCACUCCCAUCCGGGGAAAUUCUGAGUGGAAGCGUUUGGGAGCAUCGUCUACUACCGCAUUACUAGAGACGGCCGCGCCACUGGUGGCCAACAUAGGAACCAGCAGUAUUCUCCAAGCGUUUCACUGCUCGACACGUCACACGGGUUGCCUACCUAAUAGCGCAACAUAAUCAGCCGAUCCGCUCGAUAGCCGAAUCUGCUGGAAUCGCCGACCAGGGGUCUGCAUCACGUUAGUGCACACGGAGCAGGAAUUGUGCAACACUACGCUCGUUCAGUUGGAUGUACGGUGCCCGCUGAUCGAAGCCCGUCUUCGUAUUCAAGUCCAAUAUCACCUGCCAGCCUUUCCGCCACCCGGCCAAGUCCCAUUGGUCGCUGCGUUACGACUACUACCACCACGCUCUUUCAGUUGGAUGAAUGGUGCCCGCUGAUCGAUGCCCUUCGUCACGCUCGUUUGAAUAUCAACCCGCCAUUCCGACUCGGGCCCAGUCCUAUUGGUAUCUGGGUUAACGAGUACCACGCCAUCUACCACGAUUUCACCACCAAGACGCUUCCCGCCACGCUGCUUCCGAUUGCUGCUGCCGAUCUUCUGCGCCAAAACAGGAUAACAGGUCAGAUCUGAUUUUUUUUUAUGAACCAUAAUGAGCUCGAAGAACUCCAUGUAAAGCAAGUGACGUCACUUAGGUAAAUUUAAAAACUAGAAUAUAGAACAUGUUGAAUUCAG